CCUACGGGAGGCAGCAGUGGGGAAUAUUGGGCAAUGGAGGAAACUCUGACCCAGCGACGCCGCGUGCGGGAUGAAGGCCUUCGGGUUGUAAACCGCUUUCAGUAGGGAAGAAGCGAAAGUGACGGUACCUACAAAAGAAGCACCGGCUAACUAUGUGCCAGCAGCCGCGGUAAUACAUAGGGUGCAAGCGUUGUCCGGAAUUAUUGGGCGUAAAGAGCUCGUAGGUCGUUUGUUACGCCGGAUGUGAAAACCUGAGGCUCAACCUCAGGCCUGCAUUCGAUACGGGCAAACUAGAGUUUGGUAGGGGAGACUGGAAUUCCUGGUGUAGCGGUGGAAUGCGCAGAUAUCAGGAGGAACACCAAUGGCGAAGGCAGGUCUCUGGGCCAAUACUGACACUGAGGAGCGAAAGUCUGGGGAGCGAACAGGAUUAGAUACCCUGGUAGUCCAGACCGUAAACGGUGGGCACUAGUUGUGGGAACCUUCCACGGUUUCUGCGACGCAGCUAACGCAUUAAGUGCCCCGCCUGGGGAGUACGAUCGCAAGAUUAAAACUCAAAGGAAUUGACGG
rnacentral:rRNA from 1 species